UCAUGUUGCAUCCAUUUGAGUUGAAAUUUUUUGUGGUUAAUCUACACUCAUUCAUGAUCAUUUUGAUGUAAAGUUUGUGCAUUUAUCAUAUGUGGUUUGUGAAAUAUGAAUUUUGGAAGUAGGGUGUGACAAUUUGUGUCACACCAUUGAUAUGCAAUUUCAUGAUUUUCUUUAACAUGCUUCUUGACUUCCAAUUGACCUCAAAUUUUGCAUGAUCCUUCUCUUAUAUGUCUAGUUUGUG
rnacentral:lncRNA from 1 species